CCUACGGGAGGCAGCAGUGGGGGAUAUUGCACAAUGGGGGAAACUCUGAUGCAGCGACGCCGCGUGGGUGAAGAAGCGCCUCGGCGCGUAAAGCCCCGUCAGCAGGGAAGAAAAUGACGGUACCUGAAGCAGACUCCCCGGCUAACUCCGUUCCAGCAGCCGCGGUAACACGUAGGGGGCAAGCGUUAUCCGGAUUUACUGGGUGUAAUGGGGGCGCAGACGGCGAUGCAAGCCAGGGGUGAAAGCCCGGGGCCCAACCCCGGGACUGCUCUUGGAACUGCGUGGCUAGAGUGCAGGAGGGGCAGGCGGAAUUCGUGGUGUAGCGGUGAAAUGCGUAGAUAUCAGGAAGAACACCGAUGGCGAAGGCGGCCUGCUGGACUGCAACUGACGUUGAGGCCCGAAAGCGUGGGGAGCAAACAGGAUUAGAUACCCCUGUAGUC
rnacentral:rRNA from 1 species